UCAAUAGGGCUGGAAGGAAAGGGGGAGUAGAGGGUGGGGGUUUACUAAUGACAGUUACUUGAGGCCUCCCUCUGACUUUAACCUCCCAGGGUGCCUUGGAGCCUGGGAUCAGAGCUGAGAGAUAAGCCCUAUAAGCUGAGAUCAACCUGACUCCCACCAAUGCUGCCACCGUCGUGACCCUUUGGCCACUAGGGGGGGCCAUGGCCCAGCAUCCAUGAGAUUGGAGUCCUGGAGACGGGAGGUGGCCCAGUGAGGGCUUGUGGCUGACAUGUUGCCUCCUGGUACUAGCCUUUCCUGGAGCUGGCUCAGGCAAACCACGCUCAGCUAAACCACACCUGAGUGUGUUUAAGGGGACUAGCCCUCUGGGGCUGCCAGUUCAGUCCUAGCCUUUUCUCAGGCCGGAUGCCUAGCUGCCCACCUCAGACUUCUCAGAGACCCAACAGCACAUGCUGAGCAUUGCAAAGGAUCCUGAAUAUAGUGGUGGUGGUAGUAUUGUGCAUGCUUACCCAGGACAAGUCAGGGGUUAGAAACGUGCACACUGCAGUCCUGACAGCCUGGAUCUGAAGCCUCACUCCGGUAUUUCUAACCAGGUUCAUGCUGAGUCGCCCAGGCUGGGCUCAAACUUGCAGUCCUCCUGCCUCAGUCUCUUCAAGUAUGCCAAGACACCCAGCUUCAAUAGGGCAACUGCUGUUAAAGGUGAAGCUAUGUGUAGCAGAAGCAAGGCACCAAAAGUCCUGGGCAAAAAACAAAAUGCUAAUGUGAUUAAAACACUGGCCUCUUCUUAUUAAUCCUGCAUUUCAAAGGCUUAUAAAUCCUCUGUAGCCAGAGGAGAUAAAAGCGGGCUCAUCCCCAUCCCGGGGCUGACACACUCGCACUGACAUGGUGGCUCAGCAGCCAUGCCUGAGCAUGCACACGAGUGUGCCCUGGGCCUACCCACAACUGGCUUCCUGAACAACAGCAGGGCAUGGUGGCACACACCUGUAAUCUCAGCACUCAGGAGGCUGAGGCAGGAGGAUCGCCUUAAGUUCAAGGCCAGCCAGAGCUACACAAUGUCCUCCUGGAGACCACCAGCCCCCUUGCACACUAAAAAACAUCUGCUCAGAACUCUCAGGAGUUCUAUUCAGAAACCCACAGCCUGCUUGUCCCAUUGUACAGAUGACAGAACCAAGGCUCAGAGAGGGAUCGAACUUGGGACCUUCCGCUUACAAGGCAGGCACUGGAACCACUGUGCUAAGUCCCCGGCCCAAGUCCAGAAGAUUUUGAGGGUGCAGAGAGGAUGAAGAGGGAGGCCCUUGUCAUUCUCUCCAUCGUCCUCCAGCUGAAAUGCAAGGGCAGCCAUCCCUCAUCCUAGGAUCCUCAGGGGACCACUUCCAGGACCUCCCUUGGUUCCCAAAAUCCGUGGAUGCUGAAGUCCCUUAUAUAAGAUGGUUUGCAUACACCCUACACACAUCCUCCUGUGUACUUUAAAUCAUCUUUGGAUGACUUAUAAUGCCUAAUACAA